GAUGAAGAACGUAGCGAAAUGCGAUAAGUAAUGUGAAUUGCAGAAUUCAGUGAAUCAUCGAAUCUUUGAACGCACCUUGCACCCUUUGGAAUUCCAAAGGGUAUGCUCGUUUGAGUGUCAUUGUACUCUCACACUUCUAAUUCCUUUCGGGAUUGGGAGCGGUGGACUUGGGUGUUGCUGCUUUAGUUCUGGCUCACCUCAAAUAAGUUAGUGCAACUCUUGGUUGGACAUAGUACGGCGUGAUAAGUGUCUUCGCCGGCGCCUCUGUAAGGAGGGUGGCCGAUCGGGAGCUCUGUGCUUCAAACCGUCUUCGGACAAUCUUUGACAACUUGACCUCAAAUCGAGUAGGACUACCCGCUGAACUUAAGCAUAUCAAUAAGCGGAGGA
rnacentral:misc_RNA from 1 species